AAUAACUUCAUAGUGUUUCCCCGUAUAUGUUGCGAAUAGGGCGCAGCGUUUCUACCAGGCACCUCAAAUGCCUGACUAUGGAGGUUCUUUGUGAAGUU
rnacentral:ncRNA from 2 species